rnacentral:pre_miRNA from 1 species
UAGACAAAUUUUUGUAUUCGACUGUAUUCACGGCGUGAAACAAGGGAUUACAGUAUUCGACUGUAUUUAAGAUAUAUAUUUGUGAAUACAGUAACGUAAAUAGUGCAAUUCAUAAUCUAUUCAGUUGUUUUUAAAUGGAAAGUGAAUCAAUUAACACAAUAGACUCCU